rnacentral:rRNA from 1 species
AUACGGAGGGUGCAAGCGUUAUCCGGAAUCACUGGGUUUAAAGGGUGCGUAGGCGGCCUGGUAAGUCAGAGGUGAAAUACACGAGCUUAACUGGUGAAUUGCCUUUGAAACUAUCAAGAUAGAAUUAUGUUGAGGUCAGCGGAAUGAGUCAUGUAGCGGUGAAAUGCAUAGAUAUGACUUAGAACACCAAUUGCGUAGGCAGCUGGCUAGGCAUUAAUUGACGCUGAGGCACGAAAGCGUGGGGAGCGAACAGGAUUAGAAACCCCUGUAGUCC